CGCGGCCUAUCAGCUUGUUGGUGAGGUAACGGCUCACCAAGGCGACGACGGGUAACCGGCCUGAGAGGGUGACCGGUCACACUGGGACUGAGACACGGCCCAGACUCCUACGGGAGGCAGCAGUGGGGAAUAUUGCACAAUGGGCGCAAGCCUGAUGCAGCAACGCCGCGUGAGGGAUGACGGCCUUCGGGUUGUAAACCCCUUUCAGCAGGGACGAAAAUGACGGUACCUGCAGAAGAAGCUCCGGCCAACUACGUGCCAGCAGCCGCGGUAAUACGUAGGGAGCGAGCGUUGUCCGGAAUUAUUGGGCGUAAAGAGCUCGUAGGUGGUUCAGUAAGUCGGGUGUGAAAACUCAAGGCUCAACCUUGAGACGCCACUCGAUACUGCUGUGACUUGAGUCCGGUAGAGGAGUGUGGAAUUCCUGGUGUAGCGGUGAAAUGCGCAGAUAUCAGGAGGAACACCAGCGGCGAAGGCGGCACUCUGGGCCGGUACUGACGCUGAGGAGCGAAAGCAUGGGGAGCAAACAGGAUUAGAUACCCUGGUAGUCCAUGCCGUAAACGUUGGGCACUAGGUAUGGGAUCAUAUCAACGGAUUCCGCGCCGUAGCUAACGCAUUAAGUGCCCCGCCUGGGGAGUACGG
rnacentral:rRNA from 1 species